rnacentral:rRNA from 1 species
AUGUCUCCGAUCUUGAUAGCCAUGGUGGGCUGGUUCGUCUCACCCAUCAUCCACUCGCUCCUGCCCAAGAUCCUUGCCGGCAUCGGCUUCGACGCAUCCAAGAAGCUCCAGGAGCUGGAGAUCCACAUCAUCCCAGAGCUGAAGAAGACGCUGCAGGCCGUGGAUCAGGAGAGGAUGAUGCAGAGAGGGAAUAGAGUGAAAACCGAUUUGGACGCGCUGGACAAGAUGGCCGCCAUGCUCAGGCACGCUCUCGAGGACGCCGAAGACAUCUUCGACGAUGCUCAGCACAAGGUCGUGCUCGGGUGCUGGCAUCACCUCUGUGGUGCUUUCACCUCUUGCAUUGCCCGUUGUAAAUGCUGCUGCGUCUGGAUUGCACACGUCGUCCACACAAAAUCUGGUCGGCUGCUGCAGUGGGCACGGGACAUCUCCCUGUCCCUGUUCCUCCUGCGCAGGCCGGAGGAGCCUGUUUUGGUGAAUGUCGGUGCUGCGGUGGUCUCAGCCGAGCCCGUUCAAGUGACUAUCGAUAUUCCGGCCUCUGCUGCGGCCUCUGACGAGACUUAUCCGGUGACUACUAGUUCAGAGGCCACCAAUGACAAUCCUGAUUUGGCGACUACCGGUGCUCAGGCCUCUGAUGAUGCUGAGGCUUCCGGCGACGAGCCCGAUCCGAUGACUACACCCUCAGAUUCCUUGUCGAGGCGGUGGCUCUCUUGCUUGUGCAGCUCGUUCGACUUGUUCAAGAACUCUUGUGCAUCACUAUACAACUGGUGGUUAGUUCAUGUGUUUCAGGCUGCCUGCUUUUACAGAGACUGGUCAUAUCAAGUGGUUGGCAUCAAAAAAUGCCCGGAGAAUGCCAGCUUAUUUGAUAUAUUAGAUAUAUUACUUACUGCUAUCUCAAGAGGGGAAUUGAAGAAAAGAAUACAGAAGGUAGAAAACACCGUCAGUGAAGUGAAGAGCUCAUCACUCUUGGUUCUGGCACACGAAAGCAAACCAAAUGAUAUUGCCAACAAAAACAGGAGACGACUUGGAGCUGCUAACAAGCGGGAGGUAUUUGGUCGAGAGGUGCUGCGUGAUAAUAUCAUGGCAAGGCUGCGUGAGACACCACAGGGUGAUGCUGCAAGCUCGAGGACUAGUCCAUGUUACUCUGCGAUUGGCAUAUAUGGCGUUGCAGGGUCUGGGAAGACUACCUUUGCAGGAUAUGUUCGAGAUUACAUAAAGGAGGAAUGCAAGGAGGAGAAACUUUUCGACACCAUCAUGUGUAUUCAUGUGUCAGAGACUUUCAGUGUGGAGGUUAUAUUUCAAGAAAUGUUGAAGGAUAUUACCGGAGACAGUCACUCCAAUAUUUCAGAUCAUGGGGUUCUCAACAAAAAGUUGAAGGAAGCAUUGCAUGGCAAACGUUUCUUGUUGAUAUUGGAUGAUCUCUGGGUGAAAAACAAGAAUGACCAACAACUGGAGGAACUAAUCUCUCCACUCAAUGGUGGGUUGAAAGGAAGCAAAAUCCUGGUGACGGCUCGAACAAAAGAAGCAGCUAGAGCUCUGUGUACCGAUGAACUUAUUGAAAUGCCUGAUUUGGAUGAGGAUCAGUACUUGGCGAUGUUUAUGCAUUAUGCUGGUAAAAGUAUUGCCGUUAAAGAAUUUGAACAAGUUGGGAGAGAGAUUGCCAAAAAGCUACACCGAUCACCUAUUGCAGCAGUAACAGUUGCAGGACGGCUUGGGGCAAACCCAAAUAUCAGUUUUUGGAAAAAUGUUGCAAAGCUUGACAUGUUGAAUGACACCAUGGAUGCUCUCUGGUGGAGCUAUAAGCAGCUUAAUCCAGACAUAAUGCGAUGCUUUGAAUUCUGCAAUAUUUUCCCCAGAAGAUUCAAAUUGGAUAAACACGACUUAGUUGGCUUGUGGAUAGCGCAAGGACUUGUAAAGACUAGUUGUCCAACAGAAGACAUGGAAGAUGUAGCUGAGGGCUACAUUCAAGAGUUGGUUUCAUGCUCAUUUCUGCGACCAGAUGAUUACUCUGAAGAAUGCUUUGCAAUUCAUGAUCUGCUGCAUGAUUUAUUAGCCAAGGUUGCUGGAAGUGAUUGCUUCAGAAUUGAGAACACAUGGAGCCACAUAGGAGAAGGCUGGAAGGGAGAAGUCCCUCGAGAUGUCCGCCAUCUUUUUGUUCAGAAUUAUGAUGGGGAAUUGAUUACCAAGAAGAUCCUUGCAUUGGAAAAUUUACGCACCCUCAUCAUCUAUGUUGUUGGAGGUACACCAGUCGAGGAAAAAGUCAUUGAGAGUAUAUGCAAGAGGCUGCCGAAAUUGCGGGUACUAGCCAUUGCUUUCACCAAGAAACAUUUUGGAAUGAGGAAAUCCAACAAGUUAUCGGUCCCAAAAUCUAUUGCUCAGUUAAAGCACCUACGCUAUCUUGCUUUCAGGACAGAUAUGGCAUGCUCUAUAACUUUACCAAGGGCACUAACGAAACUUCACAAUAUCCAGCUACUAGAUUUUAGCGGCGGCCGAAUGUUGGAAUUCCCCUUUGCUGACCUUGUCAACUUGCGGCACAUGUUCUGCUGGCCAAACUUGAAAUUCCCUAACUUGGGCAGGCUGAUCUCACUCCAAACACUACCAUGCUUCACAGUAAGCAAUGAACAGGGUUAUGAGAUAAGGCAGCUGAGGGACCUAAACAAGCUUCAAGGACGACUGAGAAUCAAGGGCCUGCAAAAUGUUAAAAGCAAGGAGGAAGCUCUUGAAGCCAAUCUAGCUGCCAAGGAACGGUUAACAGAACUGAGUUUCGAAUGGGAUGAUGAUACCAGGUGCAGUUCAGAAGUUGAAGCAGAGGUACUUGAGGGCCUGUGCCCUCCUGCGGGGCUUCAAAAACUUGAUAUAUUUGGAUACAGAGGUUCAAGGUACCCAGAUUGGAUGGUGGGUAAGCAGAGCGGUGGCCCAGAGGGCCUGCGAAAUCUUUAUCUCUGGGGAUGCAGCCAACUAGGACCUGGUCCUGAAUUUGAUGCUUUCCCUCAUCUUCGUGUGCUCGAGAUUUGGUCCUGCAGCUGGGACUCCUUAGCAGGCAACAUGGAGCACCUCACGUUGCUCAAGGAACUGCAUAUCGUGGGAUGCAAGAAUAUCCGGUCUCUUCCAACACUGCCCCAGUCUAUUGAGCAAUUGUAUCUUGCUUCCUGCAGCGAUGAGUUGACGGAGUCCUGUAAAACAGCCGGACAUCCAAACUGGCAAAAGAUUGGGCACAUCCCCAGGAAAGAUUUUUUGUGA